AUACGGAGGGUGCAAGCGUUAAGCGGAAUUACUGGGCGUAAAGCGUGCGUAGGUGGUUUGUUAAGUCAGAUGUGAAAGCCCCGGGCUCAACCUGGGAACUGCAUUUGAAACUGGCAUACUAGAGUAUAGGAGAGGAAAGUGGAAUUUCAGGUGUAGCGGUGAAAUGCGUAGAUAUCUGAAGGAACAUCAAUGGCGAAGGCAGCUUUCUGGACUAAUACUGACACUGAGGUACUAAAGCGUGGGUAGCAAACAGGAUUAGAAACCCCAGUAGUCC
rnacentral:rRNA from 1 species